rnacentral:rRNA from 1 species
GAUGAACGCUGGCGGCGUGCCUAAUACAUGCAAGUCGAGCGAACAGACGAGGAGCUUGCUCCUCUGACGUUAGCGGCGGACGGGUGAGUAACACGUGGAUAACCUACCUAUAAGACUGGGAUAACUUCGGGAAACCGGAGCUAAUACCGGAUAAUAUAUUGAACCGCAUGGUUCAAUAGUGAAAGACGGUUUUGCUGUCACUUAUAGAUGGAUCCGCGCCGCAUUAGCUAGUUGGUAAGGUAACGGCUUACCAAGGCAACGAUGCGUAACCGACCUGAGAGGGUGAUCGGCCACACUGGAACUGAGACACGGUCCAGACUCCUACGGGAGGCAGCAGUAGGGAAUCUUCGGCAAUGGGCGAAAGCCUGACGGAGCAACGCCGCGUGAGUGAUGAAGGUCUUCGGAUCGUAAAACUCUGUUAUUAGGGAAGAACAAAUGUGUAAGUAACUAUGCACGUCUUGACGGUACCUAAUCAGAAAGCCACGGCUAACUACGUG